CUUGUAAUUGCGAUGGGGGGACGGAGAAGGCUAGGUGGGCCAGGCGACGGUUGUCCUGGUGAAAGUGCGUAGGUGGUGUUUCUAGGCAAAUCCGGAGACACAACACUGAGACACGAGACGAACGCACUACGGUGCGGAAGCCAUUGAUGCCCUGCUUCCAGGAAAAGCCUCUAAGCUUCAGAUUACAAGUCAUCGUACCCCAAACCGACACAGGUGGUCGGGUAGAGAAUACCAAGGCGCUUGAGAGAACUCGGG
rnacentral:rRNA from 1 species